rnacentral:rRNA from 1 species
AUUGAACGCUGGCGGCAUGCCUUACACAUGCAAGUCGAACGGUAACGGGCCUUCGGGUGCCGACGAGUGGCGAACGGGUGAGUAAUACAUCGGAACGUGCCCGAUCGUGGGGGAUAACGAGGCGAAAGCUUUGCUAAUACCGCAUACGAUCUACGGAUGAAAGCAGGGGACCGCAAGGCCUUGCGCGGACGGAGCGGCCGAUGGCAGAUGAGGUAGUUGGUGGGAUAAAAGCUUACCAAGCCGACGAUCUGUAGCUGGUCUGAGAGGAUGAUCAGCCACACUGGGACUGAGACACGGCACAGACUCCUAAGGGAGGCAGCAGUGGGGAAUUUUUGACAAGGGGCGCAAGGCUGAUCCAGCCAUGCCGCAUGAAGGAUGAAGGCCUUCGGGUUGUAAACUGCUUUUGUACGGAACGAAAAGCCUUCUUUUAAUACAGGAGGGUCAUGACGGUACCGUAAGGAUAAGCACCGGCUAACUACGUG